UACGUAGGUGGCAAGCGUUGUCCGGAUUUACUGGGCGUAAAGGAUGCGUAGGUGGAUAUUUAAGUGGGAUGUGAAAUACCCGGGCUCAACUUGGGUGCUGCAUUCCAAACUGGAUAUCUAGAGUGCAGGAGAGGUAAGUGGAAUUCCUAGUGUAGCGGUGAAAUGCGUAGAGAUUAGGAAGAACACCAGUGGCGAAGGCGACUUACUGGACUGUAACUGACACUGAGGCAUGAAAGCGUGGG
rnacentral:rRNA from 1 species